GACAGAGGGUGCAAACGUUGUUCGGAAUUACUGGGCGUAAAGCGCGUGUAGGCGGCUACGUAAGUCGGACGUGAAAUCCCACGGCUCAACUGUGGAAGUGCGCUCGAAACUGUGUAGCUUGAGUCCUGGAGAGGAAAGCGGAAUACUUGGUGUAGAGGUGAAAUUCGUAGAUAUCAGGUAGAACACCAGUGGCGAAGGCGGCUUUCUGGACAGUGACUGACGCUGAGACGCGAAAGCGUGGGGAGCAAACAGGAUUAGAUACCCUGGUAGUCCCCGCCGUGAACUAUGAGUGCUAGGUGUCACGGGCUUUGACCCUCGUGGUGCCGAAGCUAACGCGUUAAGCACUCCGCCUGGGGAGUACGGCCGCAAGGCUAAA
rnacentral:rRNA from 1 species